rnacentral:rRNA from 1 species
UGCAAGUCGAGCGAGAAGGGUUUGGUGCUUGCAUGGGACCUGGAAAGCGGCGAAAGGGAGAGUAACGCGUAGAUAUCUGCCCCUAGGUCUGGUAUAGCGUCGGGAAACUGGCGGUAAUUCCGGAUAAUGUCCCCGGACCAAAGGUGUGAUUCCGCCUAGGGAUGAGUCUGCGUCCUACUAGCUAGUUGGUGGGGUAAUAGCCUACCAAGGCUCUGAUGGGUAGCGGGCGUGAGAGCGUGGCCCGUCUCACUGGGACUGAGACACUGCCCAGACACCUACGGGUGGCUGCAGUCGAGAAUCUUCCGCAAUGGGCGCAAGCCUGACGGAGCGAUGCCGCGUGCGGGAUGAAGGCCUUCGGGUUGUAAACCGCUGUCAGUGAGGUGGAAAUGCAUAGAGGCUAUCCUCUAUGUUUGACCUAAUCGCAGAGGAAGUCCGGGCUAAGUUCGUGCCAGCAGCCGCGGUAACACGAACCGGACAAACGUUAUUCGGAAUCACUGGGCUUAAAGAGUACGU